GACGAACGCUGGCGGCGUGCUUAACACAUGCAAGUCGAACGGAAAGGCUCCAGCUUGCUGGCGUACUCGGGUGGCGAACGGGUGAGUAACACGUGGGUAAUCUGCCCUGCACUCUGGGAUAAGCCUGGGAAACUGGGUCUAAUACUGGAUAUGACCUUUCUCCUUAUGGGGUUUGGUGGAAAGUUUUUCGGUGUAGGAUGAGCCCGCGGCCUAUCAGCUUGUUGGUGGGGUGAUGGCCUACCAAGGCGACGACGGGUAGCCGGCCUGAGAGGGUGAUCGGCCACAUUGGGACUGAGAUACGGCCCAGACUCCUACGGGAGGCAGCAGUGGGGAAUAUUGCACAAUGGGCGGAAGCCUGAUGCAGCGACGCCGCGUGAGGGAUGACGGCCUUCGGGUUGUAAACCUCUUUCAGCAGGGACGAAGCGUAAGUGACGGUACCUGCAGAAGAAGCACCGGCUAACUAUGUG
rnacentral:rRNA from 1 species